rnacentral:lncRNA from 1 species
AUCUCACAAGAAACCCAUGAGGCAGCAAGGGCUUCACUACAAUCCUGUUGUGUUUCUUUUCAGACAAACAUCUUUAAAAGUAGUUCUAUACAGUAGAUGAGUGCUUUGAAGGGCCUUAUGUUAAUAAGUUGUAGAAGACUGUGGGAACAUUUUGUUUGCAAAAGAAAAGGAAAAUGAGGAAGAACAGAGGGUAGUGGCACUGUAGAAAAGGAGAGAGGGAGAGACCGAGAGAGAGGUGCUCUACACAUCAUCCACAGCUGACACAGACAGUUUCAUCCUCCAACCUUUGCUCAACGCUACACACAGACUGGACUAAGGGCUCCUACUCCCUCCAGAAGACUAUGGCCUCAACUGCUUUUUUUAAAGGCACAGGCCUCCUGCUCUUCUUACUACUGGGACUGCAGCCAUCGUCAUUUGUUUCAGGACAAAACACAACCUCGAGUUCCAAUACAACGACCGAUGCUACAACCACGGUGGCUGCAACAAUUGUGUUGUCAACUGACAUGAGUACUGUCUCUGCAACAGCUACGAUGACAGUUACCACAGCUCAAGCUACAAUGUCGUCUGCCAUUUCUUCUACGAAUGCUGCAAUGUCAUCUGCAGGGUUGGCAACUACGAUGGCAGCUACGAGGGUUCAAGGUGCUGCUAAUACGGCAACCUCCAAUUCGUCCAGUGUAGGUUCAAUGACAACAGCCAUGACCUCCACUUCAAGAAGUGUAACCAUUGACAACUCAAGGAAUACAGUGGCGGGUAGUGGAACCCCAAGCACGGACAAUACUACCUCAUGGGGCACCAGUGGCAUGACCAUGAUAUCCUGUCGCCAGUUCUCCUGUAACUACUCAGACUGCUACGAUGUGUACAUGAAUAGGACUUCUGUUUCAUGCAACGCUAAUAUCACCUUCUGUGAGCUGAAGAGACAGGAAGACAUGACUUACACCGGCGGCUGCAGUUCCUCCUGCAGGAAUGCCUGUGUCAAUAACACUCAGACCAACUGUACCACGGGAUGCUGCAACUCCACUGGCUGUCUUCGCUCCACCCUGGCCUCCAUGGUUCGCCCAAACACUACAACAGUGACUACAGUGAUGAUGACCACCACCACAACAACAGCAGCAGCCACCACUACAACUGCUAUGCCAACCAAUAAACUUAAGAAGUGCCAGAUGUUUCAGUGCACAGAGCAGAACUGUUACAAGACUUGGAUAACCAAAGACCCAAUGCCUUGUCCCCUCAACCAGCCCUACUGUGAGUUGAAAAAGAUGACAAUUGGUUCAACAACGAUGUGGAUGGGAGGCUGCAAUGCCGACUGCACAAGAAACACUUGGUGUACGACCACAACAGGUACAUGCCACCAAGAGUGCUGCAACACCUCCAUAACAUCCUGCCUCAAGCUGGAUGGGUCUCUGAACGUUCCUUCUUCUGCCACUAGAGGUCCUCACUUCCCUUUAGCAUUGAUCACUGCUGCUCUGCUGGUUUGUCUACUCAGCAUUGGUUCUCUGGUUUAAACUGGGUCGUGUUCAGUGGGUACAAGCGGAAGAAAAUGUAUUGAAAGAGGGAGGAAAUACCUUGACUUGUCCCUUGCAAAAUGGUUUAAAACAUUGCCUGUUGUGUGACUUAAUGAACAACCCUGAUGUGUUGACCCACUGAGCCAUUGCUUGAAUUUAAACAGUAGCAGUAGUAGUUAGCACGGCAAAACCUGGUUUCCAUUCCACAUGAAUACUAUACUGGUUGUAGGUCUAGCUUACUCUGUUUUUGUUUGUUUGCUUGUAUAUGAGGGGUAUUGAGAUACUGUAUGUGAGGGCUCAUAUGUGCUUUUGAGAGAUUUAGGUGAUUUAAUAAGUGAUAAUGAUUCCCCUAUGUGAGUCCAAACCAAAUGGGUUUAAAGGGAUUUAUUGAAGAAUAUGACGAUUAAUAUGGCUACAGAAAGCUAUUCAACCAUACCAUCAUACCCAUUUAUAAAUCAGUACUAUGUAAAACAUAAUACACAGAAGAUAGCUAUUUACGAUCAUAGAUGAGUGACCUAAUGUAUGGUACGGUAAUUAAUUCUGCUUUUUCUUAUUGAGAUUUCUGUAAGAUGAAGUUUCCAAUUAUGACAUUUUCAUAAAUAUCCUAUUUUUUUAGGCACAUUUUCUUUUGCCAGUGAUUUGCAUGAUGACUUCCAUGUUUUCUUAGAUUUUUCACUUGCAAAGACCUAGCCUGGUCUCAGAUCUGGUUGUGCUCUUGCUAACUCAAUUGCUCAUUGACAAACCAAAAAUGCCCAGUACAAGGAGUUGGCAUGAUAGCACAAACAGACUGGCACUCAGGCUAAAGACUUUCUCCAAUACAAAAGCAAACAUCUUUACAGAUAUUGCAUAAUAACUCAGUUAUUACCUAGUCCUCGCUAGCAUGUUGUGAAAGACAGAUUGACAAUUUAUGCACUUUUUAAAACAUAUAUAUUGGGUUAUAGAAGGUUUUUGAAAUAUUUGUACUGACGCAUUGAGGUGUAAUUCAUAUCUGUGAACGUAGUCAUAAACUGUACAACUGGAAUAUGUGUUUUACGCCUUUUAUUAUUUAGCUGUAUUCAUACUUAUAAUUUACCAUCAUAACAAUGUGGAAAUUGAUUCUUAAAAAUGGGUUAUAAAAUUGAGUUAUCAAAAUGUCUAAGCGUAUAUUUUUUGCAGUAGUUUCUUCGAAAGUUGGCAUACAACACCUGAUAUGUCAUAUCUAAUAUUUGGAGAAAAGUUACUAAAAUAAAUGUGUCAUGUCGGAUGCGUUCUACAUUGUGCAUAGUGUACAAACUGUAACAACUGCUUUUAAAGUCAUAUGAAUUAAAUAAAUCAAAUCAAAUGUUUUUAUAUAGCCCUUCUGACAUCAGCUGAUAUCUCAAAGUGCUGUACAGAAACCCAGCCGAAAACCCCAAACAGCAAGCAAUGCAGGUGUAGAAGCACGGCGGCUAGGAAAAACUCCCUAGAAAGGCCAACACCUAGGAAGAAAUGUUUGACCAAAACAAAAGAUGAAUAUUUUAUUUUAAAUCAUCUGCAGAGCUCACCUGUUAAGAGAUUGAUGUAACUGUACUUGAAUCAACUAGACUUCUAUACCGAAUACUGCAUCAAAAUAAACAUUAUCUACAAGAGAACCGGCCAGGUCCUUGUAGACUCGCUCUUAUUUAGUAAUUGUACCUUAUAAAGCAUUAGCCAUUCAGAAUUCAUACAUAAAUUAAAAACAUUUAAAUGACA